CCAAUAGCGUAUAUUAAAGUUGUUGCAGUUAAAAAGCUCGUAGUUGAAUUUCGGGAUCAGUACGCUGGUCGUGCCUUCGGUAUGUACUGGUGUCACUGAUUCCUCCCUUCUGACGAACCGUUAUGCCAUUUAUUUGGUGUGGCGGGGAAUCAGGACUGUUACUUUGAAAAAAAUUAGAGUGUUUAAAGCAGGCUCGCGCUUGAAUACAUUAGCAUGGAAUAAUGAAAUAGGCCGUUUGAUUCUAUUUUGUUGGUUUCUAGGAUCGACGUAAUGAUUAAUAGGGAUAGUUGGGGGCAUUAGUACUCAAUUGUCAGAGGUGAAAUUCUUGGAUUUAUUGAAGGCUAACUACUGCGAAAGCAUUUGCCAAGGAUGUUUUCAUUAAUCAAGAACGAAAGUUAGGGGAUCGAAGACGAUCAGAUACCGUCGUAGUCUUAACCAUAAACUAUGCCGACUAGGGAUCGGAUGAUGUUAAUUUUUUAAUGACUCAUUCGGCGCCUUACG
rnacentral:rRNA from 1 species